rnacentral:sRNA from 1 species
UUUUAGCCCUGAUGGCAGUGUAAAUCCUCCCGAUUUUUUUUCGGGAGAUUGCAACGUACAGCAGGAAUAGCU